CUUUCGCUGGUGUCUCUGUCACUUUCUCUCUGGCAGGUGGCUCACCGCAGCUGAUUUGCCUGUCAUAGUUGCUAGCAGUAGCUCGUUAGCAGCCAGCUGCUCAUCAGCUCUCACCGCUGGAGGGUUUUUUGAGUCGUCAUCAGGGCUUGAAGGUUCGCUUGACUGGAGGCUGAUUAAAAUCAGACUAUCGAGGAGUAAGCAGCACAUCAGACUGAUUGAUACAGC